UACGAAGGGGGCUAGCGUUGCUCGGAUUGACUGGGCGUAAAGGGCGCGUAGGCGGAUAGUACAGUCAGGCGUGAAAUUCCUGGGCUCAACCUGGGGGCUGCGUUUGAUACGUAUUGUCUGGAGUUCGGAGGAGGGUCGUGGAAUUCCCAGUGUAGAGGUGAAAUUCGUAGAUAUUGGGAAGAACACCGGUGGCGAAGGCGGCGACCUGGUCCGAUACUGACGCUGAGGCGCGAAAGCGUGGGGAGCAAACAGG
rnacentral:rRNA from 1 species